UGGUCUCCAUUUUGCAGAUGAGCAGCUGACUCUCCGGGAAGUUAAGUGACUUGCCCAAGACCAGUGGAGCUGGGAUCCAGGCCUGGAUCUAUUCACGCCUGUCUGUCAGAUCACGCUGCCUCCUAAGACACAGGACAGGGUCUCUCAUGGCUUCUGAGGACAUGAUUGUGGCUGUGAGGGCACAGAGGGGCCUCCCAUCUGGCCAAACAACAGCCACAAAAUGUGCCUAUACGUGGACCAGCUGGGGAUGUACAAGGAGGAGGAGAAUGCGAAGAAAGAAGAUGGAGGCGUGGACAUCCUGCCUGACGAGAUACAACAAGAUGCUGACCACUGACCUCUCAGGAGGGUACCGUCCUUCAGAAACCAAUGAGCGUGGCUCCCCACUUCACCUCCGGCUCAGGGAACAUGGAGCUGUGGAGAGACUGCGGACCUGAGACAAUCGUAAAGAGAUGGAUUUCAGCUCGAGUGCCUCCCUGUACGGCCUCGUUUGU